UGAAUUAGAGACAGUAGAUCCAGUAUCUCUUACAGAGGAAAGAAAGGAAGCCAAGAAAGUCGAGGGAGAGAAAAACCACUGUUUAGUUUAGAUUAGAUUUGAGUGGGUAUGGCCCUUUUUCUAGUUGGAGAGAUGCUUGGAAUAGCCUAGUAGCGUACCCAAAGGUCCAAGGCAAGGCAUCGGGUUACUUUCUUUCUAAUUGGGAGUGAAGAGGAAUCAGAUCAGAGCUUAGCUAAAGGUUAACUUAGACUUGGUCGGAUGCGGGAUCUACUCCACGAGGAGCGGUACGGACGUAGAUGAUAUCAUCACGACCUCUCUUUUCGUACCGCUAGGGAUGCUUAACGCCACUUCGCCAAUUGGCGUUACCUGCUCUUUCGUUUCUCUCAGUGUGGUCAGCACUGGGUGUUUCCGAGCAGCGAGGCUUAUACCCGUUCGCAUUAGUUCAUCCAAAGUUCCUUACCCUUAUGCACGAAUUAUUGAAUAAGCCAUCCUCCUAUCAAGGUUAAGGAGUCAACUGAGCAUCUCAGCGGCGGGAUUCAAUACCCGAAUCGAAUCAGAGUUCACGCCGCCCGCCCUGAACAAAUAGGAGGCGUGGGCCACAGGUCGCACAUAAGCC
rnacentral:lncRNA from 1 species